rnacentral:rRNA from 1 species
AGUACGUGAAACCGUUCGGGGGUAAACGGACAGAGCCCGUGAAUCUGGGCGGCGGAAUUCAGGAUGGCUGGCGGGUUUCGCGCCUGUCCGGUCGUUUGAUAUUUCCGUCGCCGUGUCAGACGUCGCGACCUGUUUGUCGUCGGUCCGUGCUCGGAGGAAUCGCGAUCGAGUUCGUUGCACGGUGCGUUUCGGCGUGCCGAGCGGCGAAGACGCGGCUCUCUGACUGACGACGGACAGUAAGCAACGGUGUCUGGCGUCGUGUCUCGCACUCGGCGUCGGUGCCGGUCUGCGACGAUUUCUUCGGGCCUCUUUCCGACCCGUCUUGAAACACGGACCAAGGAGUCUAACAUGUGCGCGAGUCGCGGGGUUUCGAGUGUGCCACGGUGCGCUCGUUACUAGCGAAACCCGUACGGUUGAAGGCGUAAUGAAAGUGAAGAGGGAAGAUGGCGUUCCGAGUCCACGUACCGUGAUCGAGUGUCGCGGCCGGACGCCCGCACUCCCGGGGCGUCUCAAUGGUUCGUCGCGGAUGCGGACGGUCGUCUCUCGAGACGGUGGUCGGUSUGCGAUGGACCGAGGCGCACCUAUAGCGUGCACGUUGGUACCCGAAAGAUGGUGAACUAUGCCUGGCCAGGAUGAAGUCAGGGGAAACCCUGAUGGAGGUCCGCAGCGAUUCUGACGUGCAAAUCGAUCGUCUGAGCUGGGUAUAGGGGCGAAAGACUAAUCGAACCAUCUAGUAGCUGGUUCCCUCCG